rnacentral:rRNA from 1 species
UGAGAGAGUGAACGGCCACAUUGGGACUGAGACACGGCCCAGACUCCUACGGGAGGCAGCAGUGGGGAAUAUUGCACAAUCGGGGAAACCCUGAUGCAGCGACGCCGCGUGAGUGAAGAAGUAUUUCGGUAUGUAAAGCUCUAUCAGCAGGGAAGAUAAUGACGGUACCUGACUAAGAAGCCCCGGCUAACUACGUGCCAGCAGU